rnacentral:lncRNA from 1 species
GACAGGUGACAUCUGCUUUUGCUUUAUGUCGGUUGAUAUUGACGAGGGAAUCUUCUUUAUCUCUUAUCAUGAUAAAGGUGGUAGGUACACGACAAAUUGCUUUAUUUUGAUAUGACAUCUUAUCAGCUAAGGGAAUCUUUAUUACUGAUGUGAUUGCUGAUUUAGAUCGGGUUGGGUCAAUAGAGUGUUUGUUUAUGCA